UGUAGGGUUGUUUUUCAGGAGCUGGGCUUGGCCCCUUAGUUCCAGUGAAAGGAACUCUGAAUGCUUCAGCAUACCAAGACAUUUUGGACAAUUCCAUGCUCCCAACUUUGUGGGAACAGUUCGGAGCUGGCCCCUUCCUCUUCCAACAUGACUGUGCACCAGUGACCAAAGCAAGGUCCAUAAAGACAUGGAUGACAGAGUCUGGUGUGGAUGAACUUGACUGGCCUGAAUUAGAGCGGAGACUGAGAGCCAGGCCUUCUCGUCCAACAUCAGUGUGUGACCUCACAAAUGUGCUUCUGGAAGAACGGUCAAAAAUUCCCAUAAACACACUCCUAAACCUUGUGGACAGCCUUCCCAGAAGAGUUGAAGCUGUUAUAGCUGCAAAGGGUGGACCGACGUCAUAUUGAACCCUAUGGAUUAGGAAUGGGAUGUCACUUCAAGUUCAUAUGCGAGUCAAGGCAGGUGAGCGAAUACUUUUGGCAAUAUAGUGUAUGAAGCACUACAGCGGGACAGCCUGACUUGGUAACUCAUACAGAAUAACUCCUGUGUGCUGGACACUCCUGUGUCCUUGGAAUCAGUUUUAAACAAAUGACCAGCGAGGAUCUAAACAGAUUGACUUUAACAGAAACUUGCUGCUCUACAGAUUCAGAGGGAAAAAAAAGUUCAGAUUCAGUCAAUAUUUCAGUGUUUAGUAACUAAUAAUUUGGCGUGUGAUGGGCAAUUACAGUAUUUGUGCAGUAAUCUUAUUCUACUUCACAUAAAAAAGCUAUGAAAUGGAAAAGUUGCUUGGUGACCGGUCAGAUAUCAGCAAUAAAAGUUGAGCUAUGGGGUUAUUGUGUUGUUGUAUAGCCAUAUACGACAUAAUUAAUAUAAUAACAGAUUUAUUCACAUACAUAAUAAAAUCCAUCAUUGCUACGAGCCAACAUUGGAUUCAUAUUAAAGAAAAUGGCCAUUAUGAUUAUCACAGGGUACUAUCACAUUAUGAUUAUUACUGCCCACCACUGCAAAGAGACAGUACGCGUGGUCACCCCAGACACUACAGAGUGACCGGAGCUAGUCUAGGUGUAGCGUGAGAGAUAGCGUGAGAUGGUCACAUGACCAAGGAAGGGUCAUAGGGUCAUGUGACCGAUUCCACCUGCGUGUGUAAAAAAAAGUUUCUGAACCCCAGUCACAAGGCCUUGAUGACAUCAUGAUGACAUCAUGAUGACAUCAUGUGUGUUGCCAUGGCUUAAACAACGGGCUAGAGCUUGCGCUAGACGACCUGCAGGGGCAGCUGAAAGGGUCACUGGAGAGAGAAGAGAAGCUCAUGAGAUCUCUAGAGAAAGCCACAGCCAAUCACAAGGCUGAAGUACAUCAACUCCAGUACUGUCAAAUGAAGCCAAAUCAGACACCACAGAGAUGGAGAUGAAGCUUCAAACUGACAUCAUAGAUCUGCAAGUAGAGCUUAUGGAUGCACAAGCCUUCAUAAGGAGAGAGCUGAAGACAUCACCGAAGACAGAAAAGGAGUUCGAGGAAACAAUAAAGAAGCUCACAGUCACAGAAACACCACUGGAAUGUGACAUAUGGGUUGAGGAGACUGAGAGAGAGGAUCCAUGGGAGGUUAUGAGCGAUGAAAACCUUUGAUGGAGGAUGUAUUGACCGAGUCUCCACAGGAGGAGCUCCAAGAGAAACCGUGCACCUCUGAGAACAUGGUCAAGUCCCUCCAGCUGGAGCUUAGCUCCUCUCAGCAGCAGCUGAGCGCCACAGAGGAAGAGAACCGUGUACUCCGGGAAAUGCUGAUGGCAUGUGAGGCACGAGUUCAGGAGGCAGAGAAAGAAACACAAAAGCAGGCUGAGAGUAAGGAAAGACUGUGAGAAGCAGAUGAGGAGUUUGAAACUCUCCUUUGAAGGCUUGAACAACCGGCUAGACCUCGCGCUAGACGACCUGCAGGGGCAGCUGAAACGCUCACUGGAGAGAGAAGAGAACCUGAUGAUAUCUCUAGAAAAAACCACAGCCAGUCACCAAGCUGAUGUACAGCAAAUGCAGCUCAGUGUAGAUGAAGCCAAAUCAGAGAACACAGAGAUGGAGAUAAAGCUUCAAACUGACAUCAUAGAUCUGCAAGUAGAACUUAUGGAUGCAUAAGCCUUUUUAAGGAGAGAGCUGAAGACAUCACAGAAAUGGAGUUUGACAAAAGAAAAAGAAGCUCACACUCACUGAAACACCGCUGGCAUGUGACAUGCCUAAAGCAACUGAGAGAAAGCGAUGAAAAGAGCAUUGGAAGGAGUUGACUGAACUGAUGAACAUCAGGCUACAGAGGACU